AUCAAGAUUACGAGUCUCAAAUAUGACGAAACGUGCGUCCUGGAU
rnacentral:hammerhead_ribozyme from 1 species